rnacentral:rRNA from 1 species
GACGAACGCUGGCGGCGUGCUUAACACAUGCAAGUCGAACGGAAAGGCCCUGCUUUUGUGGGGUGCUCGAGUGGCGAACGGGUGAGUAACACGUGAGUAACCUGCCCUUGACUUUGGGAUAACUUCAGGAGACUGGGGCUAAUACCGGAUAGGAGCUCCUGCUGCAUGGUGGGGGUUGGAAAGUUUCGGCGGUUGGGGAUGGACUCGCGGCUUAUCAGCUUGUUGGUGGGGUAGUGGCUUACCAAGGCUUUGACGGGUAGCCGGCCUGAGAGGGUGACCGGCCACAUGGGGACUGAGAUACGGCCCAGACUCCUACGGGAGGCAGCAGUGGGGAAUAUUGCACAAUGGGCGGAAGCCUGAUGCAGCAACGCCGCGUGCGGGAUGACGGCCUUCGGGUUGUAAACCGCUUUCGCCUGUGACGAAGCGUGAGUGACGGUAAUGGGUAAAGAAGCACCGGCUAACUACGUG